UCCUACGGGGCGCAGCAGUGGGGAAUAUUGCACAAUGGGGGGAACCCUGAUGCAGCGACGCCGCGUGGGUGAAGGAGUAUUUCGGUAUGUAAAGCCCUAUCAGCAGGGAAGCACAAUGACGGUACCUGACUCAGACGCACCGGCUACAUACGUGCCAGCUGCCGCGGUAAUACGUAUGGUGCAAGCGUUAUCCGGAUUUACUGGGUGUAAUGGGAGCGCAGGCGGCGCGUUAAGCCUGGUGUGACAGCCCGCGGCCCACC
rnacentral:rRNA from 1 species